AUGAUACUUCCGUCCAGUCACAGCCCCGCGGGAGCGGGAACACGCAAUGAGGGCGGCUUCGGGAGAUCCCCGGAGGGGUAAGAACCCCAUGA
rnacentral:ncRNA from 1 species